rnacentral:rRNA from 1 species
UACGUAGGGUGCGAGCGUUGUCCGGAAUUAUUGGGCGUAAAGGGCUCGUAGGCGGUUUGUCGCGUCGGGCGUGAAAUCCACUGGCUUAACUGGUGGCUUGCUUUCGAUACGGGCAGACUGGAGGUAUGCAGGGGAGAACGGAAUUCCUGGUGUAGCGGUGGAAUGCGUAGAUAUCGGGAGGAACACCAGUGGCGAAGGCGGUUGCCUGGAGCUUUGCUGACGCUGAUGCGCGAAAGCGUGGGGAGCGAUCCGG